UGGGGAAUAUUGCACAAUGGAGGGAACUCUGAUGCAGCGACGCCGCGUGAGUGAUGAAGGAAUUCGUUUCGUAAAACUCUGUUCUAUGGGAAGAAAAGGACUGUAACAUAGGAGAAAGCUCCGGCUAAAUACGUGCCAGCAGCCGCGGUAAUACGUAUGGAGCGAGCGUUGUCCGGAAUUAUUGGGCGUAAAGGGUGCGCAGGCGGCUUUACAAGUUGGGUGUGAAAUAUUGUGGCUCAACCACAAACUUGCAUCCAAAACUGCAAAGCUUGAGUUAAGGAGAGGUAAGUGGAAUUCCUGGUGUAGCGGUGGAAUGCGUAGAUAUCAGGAGGAAUACCGGUUGCGAAGGCGCUUUACUGGACUUAAACUGACGAUCAGGCACGAAAGCGUGGGGAGCAAACAGG
rnacentral:rRNA from 1 species